GGGCUGGAACUCGCCAACCGGGAGAUAAUGACCUGAGCCGGGGUAUAAUGAGCUGAAGUCAGAGGCUUAGCCGACUUACGACCCAGGCGCCAUAAAAAUUACAUUUAGAAGAAGGAAUUGAGUGAGGUUACAAGUUUUUAAUCAGAAUUGUCAGCGAGAACUCUUGGAAAGAAGGAAAUGUUGGAGGACUCUGCAUCCAAAAGAUAGGAAACAUCAAAUGUCCCUCAUUUGAAGGGCCUGGCCAAACUAUGGCCCCUCGCAUGGUGUAAUAGUGAACUACAACAAAGAAUGAGCCAGCUCUUUAUAGAGGAAGUGAAUUUUGAAAACCACCAGUCAGACCAUGUACCUCCUGAUUUCAAUAACUAGCGUCUUCCUUUCUCAUUCAAGAAAGUCUGAGGCCUAGAGUGGCUUAUAAAGUCCUCUGCAGUUUGGCCCAGUUCACUGAUUUUCACAGAUGCUCCUUCUGUUUCGUCUUCCUCUUCUCAAACAGGCUGGGCACCCUCUGUUUCAGGGCCUUGUCACCUGCUGUUCCCUCUGCCUGGAAUGCCCUGCCUCAGACUAGUAUGGCUCUCUUCUUUUGGGGCUUUGCGUCUUUGCGCAGAUUUCACCCUCUCAAUUAGCGCCAGUCCUGACCUUUCAGUUUAAAAUUGCAACUCCCCAUCUCUGUUCUCUGCCUUUUUUUUCCUACGUGGUGUCUAUUGAAUAUGUAACUAUAUUGAAUAUAAAGCUAUACGUUCAUUAGGCAACUCAGAAAGAAUUCAUGAGAAAAUGGUGCCAGCAGUUGCCUCUGUGGAGAACAACUAGCAGCAGGGUGAGAUUAAAAUUUAUCCUUUUCUCUUUUUUCCUCACUCCUAUCUGCAUUACAAAAAAAAAAAAAAAUUAACAUCAGCCCCUGAGUUUAUGGCACAGACAUGUACUGAGCACCUGUGCUGUGCCAGGCAUUAUGUUAGGCCCUGGGGUAGAGAGCAGACAGGACGUGUAGGGUAAGGACUCUGGGUAGUAGUUUAGAGGAGAGAAGUCACCCAAAUCAUCCUGGAAAGGGAAAGGGGAAGCCGCAGGCAGGGGACAGCACAGUCCAGGGCAUGUGGACUUACUAGAAUGUGACGGUCCCCCAGGGCCUGCUAAGUGGCAGUGAUGGACACAUGGAGAAUGGCCAAUGACAAUUAGAGAAAAGAGACAAAAUACAAAAAAAGGGCAAACUGCAGGGGAUCAUUUGAUGCCAAGCUGAGUUUGGCCAUUAUCCAAGGAGAUGCUGAAAGGUCUUUCGAAGGGAAUGACGGGCUGAGAUCUGAACUUAACUCGUGAACUUUCUCCCAUGAGAAUUAAAGCUGCACGAAGCCAGAGGUGACGGACUGGUGGCCUACAGAUGUUUGCUUUGGACCAGGUCCUCACACAGUGGGACACACGCACACUUGUGUGCACACACUCAAGACUGCUUGAAGAUUCAGCUUUACUCAAGUGCAAUUUUCCAAGAGAUUCUCCUACUUCAUUCCUCGGACCCUUGGACCCUAAAGCAGGCCGCCAACAUACCAGACCCGUGCAGGCCUCUGGCAGCUGACGCUCACCGCGGGGCUGGGAAGUUUGUGCCUUCCAGGUCACUGCCUGUGCUUGGUUUGUGCCAGUCACGGACACAACCGAUGCAGGCUUUACUUAAUUCACCCAAAUGUUGAUGACCCAGGUGCCCCUAGUAUGGUCUUUACAAGUAGGCAGAAUAACACCCCACCCCCCAAAUGUCUGCCUCUUAAUAUCCAGAACCUGUGACGAUGCUACCUUAUGUGGCAAAAGGGCUUUGUAGAUGUGAUUAAGUUAAAGAUUUUCAUUAAAAAAUUUUUUUAAA